AAUGAUUGAAUGAAUCAUUAACAAAACAGCGACUGUUUUAUUUCUGUCGCAAGAUUCGCUGGGUGCAUGUUUCAUUGAAAUUCCAAAUCCUUUUGAAAAUGUUUAAUGAAGUGCUCAUUUCCGCCCUUGUGCAAGGAAUUAAUUUGGAACACUUCUUCCGUGCGGUAUGUAUUUAUCUUUACAAGCCACAUGUGCUGAAUCGGAAGUUGUUUGGUAUCAGCAAUCUUCACACAUUUUCCUACCGCCGUCGUCCACCGACGACGGAAUGUUCGACCGGAGGGGAAGAUUUUGAUGUAGCCAACCUGCUGGUCAAGAUAAAGGAACACAUCGCAGACGAUUUGGAUAAAAUCGAACAAAGUUUGGAAAACGGUUCUCGAUGGUCGGAGUUUCAAGACGUUCGGAAAGUGAUUAAUCUGGAUUUGAACAAGUUGGAUUUCAGCGGACAAGGGCGGGAUACUGGAUUCCUGGUUAUCAACCGAUUUCUCCCGCGAAAUUUGACCGUUUUUCAUCCCUUAGAUGUGCUGGCUAUUAUAGAUUUCCAUUCACAGUCAGUGUCGAUGGUGUGUCUCCAGGAUGCGGCAAACAACCUCAUUCCGAAAGUUGCCUUCUCGAUGCAGCUAAAGCAAGAGAUUCUCUCAAUCAAUUACGAAAACUGUGCCAACCUGGAUGACAAGACAUCCUCUUGGCUGAAAGAUGUCCUUUUCCAGCGACUGCUCAAAUGGAUCGACAACAACAUACUGCAGGCGACUUCCGAACUCUCCACCAUCGACAGGAGCGAGCUCGUUUCUCUCUCGUUGAUCAACGAUCUUCAGGAAUACAACCAAUUGUACAGCGAGUUGAAAUCCAAAUACGGCAUCGAAAUGGUUAGGAUAUGGCCCGAGACGACCGAUCCUAGAAAGUACGUGUACGAAGAUGUUGCGAUCGCCACCUAUUUAAUACUUCUGUGGAAACAGGAACGCGCGGAGUCCGGUACCGAUCGGUUGCAAUCGUUCGUGGACAUCGGCUGUGGGAACGGACUGUUGGUCUACAUUUUGGCUUCCGAAGGUCACGAGGGGCUCGGCAUAGAUCUGCGAAGGCGUAAAAUAUGGGAUCACUAUCCGGCGAAUGUUAGACUGAAGGAGCAAUCAAUUGUGCCCUCCGAUGAUGCUCUGUUUCCGAACAUUGACUGGAUUAUCGGAAACCAUUCGGACGAACUGUCGCCUUGGAUUCCGGUCAUAGCGGCGCGGAGUGCCUACCACUGUCGAUACUUCCUCUUGCCAUGCUGCGCGUUCGAGUUUGAUGGCAACAAAUUUCAAAGGCAGAAUUCCGGCGUCAGUCAGUACGGCGACUUUCUGAGGUACGUUGGGGAAAUUUCUGAGGUUUGCGGGUUUGAAACAUCCGUGGACCGCUUGAAGAUUCCCAGCACUAAGCGAACAUGUUUGGUGGGGUCUACGAGGAACUAUAGCGAAGAUCGAUUCCAAGAGUAUUCCAAUCAAAUCCAAGCCUUCAUAGAUUCCAGAACAGCCGCAAACAGAAAAGAAUCCGAUUCGAUCUGGUCCGAGAGUUUUCGGCCCCGUGAAAGUGUAGAAAAAGUGCGAAACUGCACCAAACUAGAGCGAAGCGUUAUAGACGAAAUUGUUCGAAUAGUAUUCGACGCGUUGAUUGCCAAGAAACGAAUGGCGAGUGAGUUUCCGGAGAAAAACUGGAACGCCGGCGGGAAGAUUAGUAUCGGAGAAUUGGUCGCGCUGAUUCCGCAGGAUAGGUUGAACAAUCUGAAGGCGGAAUGCGGUGGACUGCAAACGUUGCUGAAGAAUAACCACCAAAUAUUUCAAGUGCUGAAUGGUUGUGUCCAGCUUAGGAUUCCGACCAGAGUUGGCGAGAACAGUAAAAGUGCAGAAGAGAUGAAAAAGAAAACGAAAAAGCAAAAGAAUGUGAGAAUAGUGAAUCUAAAGGAAAAACCUUGUUGGUUUCACAACAAUCACCCGGAUGGAUGUCCAUUUGAAGAGAAUGAAUAAUCUUAUAUUUUCUUCUAGCGCGUGGUCCCCAUCAUUCGUACCGUACAAUUUUCAAUUAAUUACUUAUUUAAUUUAACAGCAUUUGAGGCCGUCAAAGAGAUCGGCUGUGAAAAAAUGAAAUACCAAAUCACGCAUUUCCAGAGGACGCUUGGAUACUGCUUUCCACCGGGACGAUAUAACCUGUUUCAUCGCCCGCUUCCCCCCUCAAGUGACUCAACCCUCAAACAUGUUCCAGGCAAAGCUUCCGCCGAGUUACAAAGUGCUGGAGUACCAAAUUAAGUAUGAGCGUGGCGCUUGUGCUGCGUCAUCUGUUCUCAAGCGAUCCGGAAUCAUGUACGCAAAGUGCAGAACACACGAAAGUUCCACACUCAACAGGAUCUCAAAUCAACUUCAUGGGGCAGCUGGCGUUACACCGAAAACAUGGGUGGCAGCCUAAGACAGACGCAAAACGACCACGCAUUUUCGGAAAUCAUCAAUACGGAUUCGGAGAACGCACCGGAGGUGAGCUGCCAAAUAGAUGCGGUUAAGCUGGGGAGUGACGGUAACAAAAGGAUGGUAACGAAAUUAAUGAUCCGGUCGAACGCAUUUGGGCUUCCAGUGAUGACGUGCUUGGAGUAUGCUGCGAUGGUUCUGCUGAAACGGUGAAGGAUUCUGGUAAGCUUGAUGUCGUACAACAACGCCUAAAUUUCCACGAUAAAGAGACGGCUCUAAAGCUAGCCAGAGAAUGGCUCGAAAUAUGUAUUGUGUAUCCGGAAUAAAUUUAUACCGCUUUUUAUACCGAAGUUAGAAUUUUUCUCCAGAUACAGGCAACUUUCCCAACUUCGGAAGUAGUGCGCUGGAUUCGCCUAAAGAUGCGCUAAACAACGCAUCAAUUAGUUUGACAAAUAAAACUUCGGAAGAAAGUUCGGUUCGGAAGUCCCGACUUCCGAAUUCUAACUUGGUGCUACGCCGACAA